GAUGAAUGCUGGCGGCGUGCCUAACACAUGCAAGUCGAGCGGCAGCGCGAGUAGUUUACUACUUGGCGGCGAGCGGCGGACGGCUGAGUAACGCGUGGGAACAUACCCCAAAGUGAGGGAUAACCGCUCGAAAGGGUGGCUAAUACCGCAUAUGGUCUUCGGAUUAAAGGAUUUAUCCGCUUUGGGAAUGGCCUGCGUACGAUUAGAUAGUUGGUGAGGUAAUGGCUCACCAAGUCGACGAUCGUUAACUGGUCUGAGAGGAUGAUCAGUCAGACUGGAACUGAGACACGGUCCAGACUCCUACGGGAGGCAGCAGUGAGGAAUCUUCCACAAUGGGCGAAAGCCUGAUGGAGCAACGCCGCGUGCAGGAUGAAGGCCCUCGGGUUGUAAACUGCUUUUAUAAGUGAAGAAUAUGACGGUAACUUAUGAAUAAGCACCGGCUAACUACGUGCCAGCAGCCGCCGUAA
rnacentral:rRNA from 1 species